GACGAACGCUGGCGGCGUGCCUAAUACAUGCAAGUAGAACGCACAGUUUAUACCGUAGCUUGCUACACCAUAAACUGUGAGUUGCGAACGGGUGAGUAACGCGUAGGUAACCUGCCUGGUAGCGGGGGAUAACUAUUGGAAACGAUAGCUAAUACCGCAUAAUAUUAAUUAUUGCAUGAUAAUUGAUUGAAAGAUGCAAUUGCAUCACUACCAGAUGGACCUGCGUUGUAUUAGCUAGUAGGUGAGGUAACGGCUCACCUAGGCGACGAUACAUAGCCGACCUGAGAGGGUGAUCGGCCACACUGGGACGGAGACACGGCCCAGACUCCUACGGGAGGCAGCAGUAGGGAAUCUUCGGCAAUGGACGAAAGUCUGACCGAGCAACGCCGCGUGAGUGAAGAAGGUUUUCGGAUCGUAAAGCUCUGUUGUAAGAGAAGAACGGGUGUGAGAGUGGAAAGUUCACACUGUGACGGUAGCUUACCAGAAAGGGACGGCUAACUACGUG
rnacentral:rRNA from 1 species